rnacentral:lncRNA from 1 species
CGCGCAAUCCCAGGAAUCACAGUCCCCCACCAUUCGGUCAGAAAAAAGAAUUCGCCCAUUCUUGGGUUCACCGAACCGGAAUCGCCUUUCCCACCAUCACCCGUUCAGGCUGCCGCGGGAGAGUUCGCGUGCCCGCGGGCUCGCUAUCCCAUCACCGGUUCAGACAGCAGAGGAAGGAGAGUACGCGCAUCCCAGGGAUCACAGUCCCCACCAUUCGGUCAGCACACAGAGUUCGCCCAUCCCUGGGUUCACCGACCCGGACUCGCCUUCCCCACCAUCACCCGUUCAGGCAGCCGCGGGAGAGUUCGCGCGCCCACGGACUCGCUGUCCCAUCACUGGUUCAGACAGCAGAGGAAGGAGAGUACGAGCAUCCCAGGGAUCACAGUCCCCACCAUUCAGUCAGCACGCAGAGUUGGUCCAUCCCUGGGUUCACCGACCCCGGAUUCGCCUUCCCCACCAUCACCCGUUCAGACUGCCGCGGGAGAGUUCGCGCGCCCGCGGGCUCGCUGUCCCAUCACCGGUUCAGACGGCAGAGGAAGGAAAGUACGCGCAUCCCAGGGAUCACAGUCCCCACCAUUCGGUCAGCACGCAGAGUUCGCCCAUCCCUGGGAUCACCAACCCCGGAUUCGCCUUCCCCACCAUCACCCGUUCCAUCAGCUGGCAGAGCAUUCACGCGCCCCAGGCUCGCCGUCCCAUCAUCACCCGUUUGAUCAGCGGGAGGAGAAUUCGCACAUCCUGGGAUCUCUGUCCCCAGGCUCGCUGUCCCCACCACUGCCCCUUCUGUUAGCCGGUAGUUUGCGCGCCUCCACCAUCAUCCCUUCGGUCAGUCGGAGGAAAGUUCGCCCAUCCUCGGGAUCUCUGUUCCCACCAUCGCCCUUCAGCGUGCGGAGAGUUAGCCCGCCCCCGGGAUCGCUGUGGCGACCGACCGUCAUGCAUUCGGUCAGCCAGAGGAAAGAUCGCCAUCCCUACCAUCACCCGUUCGGUCAGCGUGCGGAGAGUUCGCGCGCCCCCGGGAUCGCUGUGGCGACCGACCGUCAUGCAUUCGGUCAGCCAGAGGAAAGAUCGCCAUCCCUACCAUCACCCGUUCGGUCAGCGUGCGGAGAGUUCGCGCGCCCCCGGGAUCGCUGUGGCGACCGACCGUCAUGCAUUCGGUCAGCCGGAGGAAAGACGCCAUCCCCACCAUCACCCGUUCGGUCAGCGUGCGGAGAGUUCGCGCGCCCCCGGGAUCGCUGUGGCGACCGACCGUCAUGCAUUCGGUCAGCUGGAGGAAAGAUCGCCAUCCCCACCAUCACCCAUUCGGUCAGCGUGCGGAGAGUUCGCGCGCCCCCGGGAUCGCUGUGGCGACCGUCAUGCAUUCGGUCAGCUGGAGGAAAGAUCGCCAUCCCCACCAUCACCCGUUCGGUCAGCGUGCGGAGAGUUCGCGCGCCCCCGGGAUCGCUGUGGCGACCGUCAUGCAUUCGGUCAGCCGGAGGAAAGACGCCAUCCCUACCAUCACCCGUUCGGUCAGCGUGCGGAGAGUUCGCGCGCCCCCGGGAUCGCUGUGGCGACCGACCGUCAUGCAUUCGGUCAGUCGGAGGAAAGAUCGCCAUCCCCACCAACACCCGUUCGGUCAGCGUGCGGAGAGUUCGCGCGCCUCUGGCUCGUUGUCUCCACUGUCAUCCGUUCGGUCAGCCAGCGCGGAAAAUUCUUGCGUCCCGGGGAUCACCGUCCCCACCAUCACCCGUUCGGUGA